rnacentral:rRNA from 1 species
ACGGAGGGUGCGAGCGUUGUCCGGAAUCACUGGGCGUAAAGGGCGCGUAGGCGGUGCGGUAAGUCACCUGUGAAACCUCUGGGCUUAACUCAGAGCCUGCAGGCGAAACUGCCGUGCUCGAGUGUGGGAGAGGUGCGUGGAAUUCCCGGUGUAGCGGUGAAAUGCGUAGAUAUGCGGAGGAACACCGAUGGCGAAGGCAAUCCCCUGGGCCUGCACUGACGCUCAUGCACGAAAGCGUGGGGAGCAAACAGGA